rnacentral:rRNA from 1 species
GACGAACGCUGGCGGCGUGCUUAACACAUGCAAGUCGAGCGGUAAGGCCCUUUCGGGGGUACACGAGCGGCGAACGGGUGAGUAACACGUGGGUGACCUGCCCUCAGCUCUGGGAUAAGCCUGGGAAACCGGGUCUAAUACUGGAUAUGACUCCAUGACGCAUGUUGUGGGGUGGAAAGCCUUGUGCGGCUGAGGAUGGGCCCGCGGCCUAUCAGCUUGUUGGUGGGGUGANGGCCUACCAAGGCGACGACGGGUAGCCGGCCUGAGAGGGCGACCGGCCACACUGGGACUGAGAUACGGCCCAGACUCCUACGGGAGGCAGCAGUGGGGAAUCUUGCGCAAUGGGCGAAAGCCUGACGCAGCGACGCCGCGUGAGGGAUGACGGCC